rnacentral:rRNA from 1 species
GAUGAACGCUGGCGGCGUGCUUAACACAUGCAAGUCGAACGAGAAGUGGAGACGGAAACCUUCGGGCGGAAGACUUUAUUUCGAGUGGCGGACGGGUGAGUAACGCAUGGGUAACCUGCCUCAUACAGGGGGAUAACAGUUGGAAACGACUGUUAAUACCGCAUAAGACCACAGCACCGCAUGGUGCGGGGGUAAAAACUCCGGUGGUAUGAGAUGGACCCGCGUUCGAUUAGCCAGUUGGCGGGGUAACGGCCCACCAAAGCGACGAUCGAUAGCCGAUCUGAGAGGAUGACCGGCCACAUUGGGACUGAGACACGGCCCAAACUCCUACGGGAGGCAGCAGUGGGGAAUAUUGCACAAUGGGGGAAACCCUGAUGCAGCGACGCCGCGUGAGUGAAGAAGUAUUUCGGUAUGUAAAGCUCUAUCAGCAGGGAAGAAAAUGACGGUACCUGAGUAAGAAGCCCCGGCUAACUACGUG